GUCUAGGAUAGAGCUACUCCAAAGCUAUGGAUUUGAGCACAUGGGCACGCUGAAUAAUCCAGAAUAAGCUGGAUUGCUUAAAAACAGGAGACAAAAAGCAACUGGCUGACAAUCAAACGUGCUCUGCAACUUGUGGUUGAUGAGACUAUAAUACGGCCAAGUAUUUUUCCUUUUGACCAUAGCUUUUGGCGCUGCUCCCUAAUCGAGGGUUUGGUUUCUUAGCCUGCAUGUGUUACUUUUAUCACCGGACUUGUGCCUUUUGGUAUAUAGUCCCAGAUUUCAAUGCAUGACACAAAUACUGAGUCACUCACAUUAUUUAGGAAAACACUACUCCCACCGACAAAAUCCACAGUUUUAUUUUAUUUUAUUUGUAAGUAUUUUUUAAUUUGUUCGUUUGUUUUUUUUUUUUUAAAAAAGUUUUGAGUUAAAAAAAAAAAAAAAAAUGGACAUUCGGUGGGAGUAGCAGCACCCCAUUAUUUGUUCAACAUUCAGAGAUAUUCAUUAUGUGCCAUGUGGAACUAUAUAGCCUCGUAUUUCUCAAUGUGCAAAACCAAAUAUUGGGGGAAUGAUGUGCACUGGACGGCAUCAUCGACAUUUUAUAAGAAUUAGCUACUUCAGCAGUUGAGAACAUACUCGGUGGGCAGAAGCAUGUUCUGAUUGAAAUAUGGUCAGUCAAAAUUUGGCUCAAUACUUGUUCCUUUAUUUCUUUUAAAUACUUCCAUGUUGAAUUUCACAUUCAUUUUGGAGAUGUUUGUUUCUCUCAGCUGUGUGUGAUGAUGAAAUGUAGCUAUGACUGAUCUUUCUUUAGCCUGUUUUACAAUGCAUAUCCAUUAACUCUCU